GCCGGGCGCGGUGGCUCAAGCCUGUAAUCCCAGCACUUUGGGAGGCCGAGAUGGGCGGAUCACAAGGUCAGGAGAUCGAGACCAUCCUGGCUAAAACGGUAAAACCCCGUCCUUACAAAAAAAAAAAAAAAAAAANNNNNNNNNNUUUUUUUGUAUUUUUUAGUAGAGACGGGGUUUCACCGUUUUAGCCAGGAUGGUCUCGAUCUCCUGACCUUGUGAUCCGCCCGUCUCGG
rnacentral:SRP_RNA from 1 species